GAUGAACGCUGGCGGCGUGCCUAAUACAUGCAAGUCGAGCGAACAGACGAGGAGCUUGCUCCUCUGACGUUAGCGGCGGACGGGUGAGUAACACGUGGAUAACCUACCUAUAAGACUGGGAUAACUUCGGGAAACCGGAGCUAAUACCGGAUAAUAUAUUGAACCGCAUGGUUCAAUAGUGAAAGACGGUUUUGCUGUCACUUAUAGAUGGAUCCGCGCCGCAUUAGCUAGUUGGUAAGGUAACGGCUUACCAAGGCAACGAUGCGUAGCCGACCUGAGAGGGUGAUCGGCCACACUGGAACUGAGACACGGGCCAGACUCCGACGGGAGGCAGCGGUAGGGAAUCUUCCGCAAGGGGCGGAAGCCUGACGGAGCAACGCCGCGUGAGUGAUGAAGGUCUUCGGAUCGUAAAACUCUGUUAUUAGGGAAGAACAAAUGUGUAAGUAACUAUGCACGUCUUGACGGUACCUAAUCAGAAAGCCACGGCUAACUACGUG
rnacentral:rRNA from 1 species